AAGAUCCACAUUAGUGCCAGGUUUCAGGUCAUCUUGAAAACCCUGAUAAUUGUGAGUGAUAAGUCGUAAUUAUCUGUGUGAAUUGGACAUGCCCUGUACUGAGCCCAAUUUGCAUAAACAUUUGUAAUUUUGCUUCUGAAAUUAAUGUUGAAAGCAGUGUAGUUGCAUGUGCUUUCCACCCACUGAGGGUGCAUUGUGAAUCAUAUGCAACUUUUCUUUUUUUCUGGUGCUUGGCGAUGGCUGAAAAACCAUCACAAUCCAUUUCUGAAUUCCUCCUGAGAUUUUUCAGAGAGCUUGCAAUGUUUUAGUGAUGUCGAACAACACAGAAGCCUCCAAAUUUAGCAAGAAACCUCCAGCCAGUUAUUCUAUCCUUCUUUUAUCCUUUUGUAUUUGUUUACCCUUAAACAAUAUUAUGUGAAUAAUAUAUGUUGCAAUUAAGUAUAAUUUCAUAUAAAAUAUGCACUUUUAUUUAUUGCUAAAACGUUUUCCUGUUUCAUUUUCUUUGAGUCAUGCUGCCUGUUACACUGCUGAUUGCCUCCAGAAGUGUUGAAUUAAGUCAAAAUUCACUGAAGUGCUCAAAGUCCAGGUCUAACUGGGCUGGAGUAAUCCUCGGCGAAUCAGGAGAAUGAAUGACCACUGCAGUUCCCUGAUUCCAGACUCCCAGAGGACACAAUGGGGCUUCAGGGAUGGGCUGAUUCCUCAGGAAUUUAUGGCACUGCCGUUGCAUGGAGGAGCGGGGCCAACAUCGCCGCAUAAAACGCUUUACCACAUUCACCUCUCCUUCGGAAACACCACGGGGCCAUUAGAACAGAGCCGCCUUUGAUGUGCACGCUAAUUUGUGAUGCCUAAAAUGUCAGGGCGAGAGGCAGACCCACGGUGAGAAGGGUAACACAGGUGGCUAAUGAGAGCAUCAGGCUGCUCUCUGAGGGUUCGGAAA